CCCGCACAAGCAGCGGAGCGUGUGGUUUAAUUCGAUGUUACACGAAGAACCUUACCAGGGUUUGACAUGCAAGUGGUAGGAAGCCAAAGGUGACCGACCCUUCGGGGAGCUUGCACAGGUGCUGCAUGGCUGUCGUCAGCUCGUGUCGUGAGAUGUUCGGUUAAGUCCGCUAACGAGCGCAACCCUCGCUGUGUGUUAUAUGUGUCACACGGGACUGCCGGUCUUAAGGCCGGAGGAAGGUGGGGAUGAUGUCAAGUCAGCAUGGCCUUUAUAUCCUGGGCUACACACACGCUACAAUGGCCAACACAAUAGGUUGCUAAGCCGCGAGGUGGCGCCAAUCCAUAAAGUUGGUCUCAGUUCAGAUUGUAGGCUGCAACCCGCCUGCAUGAAGAUGGAGUUGCUAGUAACCGCAGGUCAGCUAUACUGCGGUGAAUACGUUCCCGGGGCUU
rnacentral:rRNA from 1 species